AUUGAACGCUGGCGGCAGGCCUAACACAUGCAAGUCGAGCGGUAGAGAGAAGCUUGCUUCUCUUGAGAGCGGCGGACGGGUGAGUAAUACCUAGGAAUCUGCCUGAUAGUGGGGGAUAACGUUCGGAAACGGACGCUAAUACCGCAUACGUCCUACGGGAGAAAGCAGGGGACCUUCGGGCCUUGCGCUAUCAGAUGAGCCUAGGUCGGAUUAGCUAGUUGGUGAGGUAAUGGCUCACCAAGGCUACGAUCCGUAACUGGUCUGAGAGGAUGAUCAGUCACACUGGAACUGAGACACGGUCCAGACUCCUACGGGAGGCAGCAGUGGGGAAUAUUGGACAAUGGGCGAAAGCCUGAUCCAGCCAUGCCGCGUGUGUGAAGAAGGUCUUCGGAUUGUAAAGCACUUUAAGUUGGGAGGAAGGGCAGUUACCUAAUACGUGAUUGUCUUGACGUUACCGACAGAAUAAGCACCGGCUAACUCUGUGCCAGCAGCCGCGGUAAUACAGAGGGUGCAAGCGUUAAUCGGAAUUACUGGGCGUAAAGCGCGCGUAGGUGGUUUGUUAAGUUGAAUGUGAAAUCCCCGGGCUCAACCUGGGAACUGCAUCCAAAACUGGCAAGCUAGAGUAUGGUAGAGGGUAGUGGAAUUUCCUGUGUAGCGGUGAAAUGCGUAGAUAUAGGAAGGAACACCAGUGGCGAAGGCGACUACCUGGACUGAUACUGACACUGAGGUGCGAAAGCGUGGGGAGCAAACUGGG
rnacentral:rRNA from 1 species